rnacentral:lncRNA from 1 species
UGCAGGCAGCAGCCAUGCGACAAGCGAGCUCGCCUGGGGUGGCACAUUGCCUGGGAAAAGUGAGAGCCACGUGGUUGAAAGGCAGCAGCAGAGGAAAGCAGGGAUAAGACACACACUGACGACUGUCAUCAUGCAACCCAGAAGCAUCCUCGCUCCCACAGGCACCAGAGGCUCCAGCGGGCCAUGACCUGCGAGAAGGACAGCGUGGCCGGUGGAAGCCCUGGGGAAACGGGGAAGUCGAACCGGAAUCUCUUUGCCGCGAUCUGAGCGGGCCGUGCACACAGACACCCCGCCGGGGUCAUGAUUACAGGAAGCAGGUA